rnacentral:misc_RNA from 1 species
CCUGAAGAUACCUUCCGGCGCAGUGUCCACACAGAUUGUCUGAUGAAAAAGUAACGAGCAGAAAAACCUCUACAGGCUUGUAGCUCAGGUGGUUAGAGCGCACCCCUGAUAAGGGUGAGGUCGGUGGUUCAAGUCCACUCAGGCCUACCAAAUUUCUUCUCAUGCUGCGUUAUGCACUCGGUCGUUUACUGUAGUAAACUUCCCUCCCGCAUGCCUUGCCUGAAAAGAAAUUGCAUUUUCUCUUUAUAAAGAAAAUGCGACUCCUCAUGAGUGGUAGAAAAAGGUUUCUGUCAGACCGUAUGGGGCUAUAGCUCAGCUGGGAGAGCGCCUGCCUUGCACGCAGGAGGUCAGCGGUUCGAUCCCGCUUAGCUCCACCAUAUGGUUUUUCUGAAUUCAAUAUUUCAGAGUGUACUGGUUAACAGUAUGCUGCGAAGUAUUAUGCUCUUUAACAAUCCGGAACAAGCUGAAAAUUGAAACGACGUGUCGUGUUCAUUCUCCGUAAUAAGAAUGAAGUUAACGACAUGUUCGAGUCUCUCAAUGCCUGCAACUGACAGACGUCUUUCGGGACGCUUGUGGGUUGUGA